rnacentral:lncRNA from 1 species
AUCAUGAGAUGAUCUAACCCACAGGUGGGCAGUCAGAACCACGACACAAGUGCCUGAUGGCUCAGUGUACACUCCUUUCCAACGCCUCCAUGCAAGUUCGAUACUGUUGGAGCUCCUCUGUUCCCACUCAAGUUGGAGCGGUGCUUUGUCUCAAGUCUUGGAACUAGCCGACCUUGUGGCAAGGCUGUGUUCAGCAGUGAGUUUGCAGCUCUUGAGAGAGGAAGUUUCCCAUUUCACCACCCCAGACUUCUCUUACCAAACGGGUACCAGGAGGACCUGGAUUAUGGAUGACUCUUCAAGUUUGUCCUCUUCUGCAAUAAGAUGUUUCCUGUUCAAAUUUGGAGCUGUGACAAAAGGAUAAACCAUCUAGUGAUUGCCAUAUCCAGGGAUCAAUCCCAUAAUCAGCUGCCAAACGGUGACACCAUUGCAUACACUAGCAAGAUUUUGCUGUAUGGACCCAGAUAUAGCUCUCUCUUGUGAGACUAUGCCAGGGCCUAGCAAACACAGAAGUGGAUGCUCACAGUCAGUUAUUGGAUGGGUCACACGGCCCCCAAUGGAGGAGCUAGAGAAAGUACCCAAGGAGCUAAAGGGAACUGCAACCCUCUAGGUGGAACAACAAUAUGAACUAACCAGUAGCCCGGAGCUCUUGUCUCUAGCUGCAUAUGUA